GGGGCUGACAGGCUUUCGAUGGCCUGCCGGAGACCUUGUGCUACGUGCCGGGGACCGAUGGGAGCAACCGUCAUCAAACCCAUCACCGGAAUAAACGCCAACACCGUUUCUUCUCAGCGUUUCAUGCUCGCCGCAUGAAACCCGACUCCGCCAUCUGCCGGUCGAACGGCCGGAGUCGGACAACCUGCGACCGGAUUGAUCGGACAGUCGGACGAUGGAUUCGCCCGGCCAGUACAUGAACGUCGUCUACAAGCCGUGCGGGUUCGCCGAACGCACCCGUCCACGGAUGAGGAUCAAGCGUCGGAUACGCACGUGAUGGCAAGCAAUGGUUGACGGCAGGCCAGACCCGAGUUCGAUUCUCGGCGGCUCCACGG
rnacentral:tmRNA from 1 species